UCAAUUGAAAUAUCAAGCAUUCAUCUUUCAAUACAUUCUCUCUUUUCUCACAAAUUUAUUUGUUGCCUUUAGUUUCCUUUACUUUCAAUUCCUAAUUUUCCAGCUUGUUACCACUUAAACCAUUUUCAAUUUCCUUUUCAAACUUUCUUUCCAUCUCCAGUAGCUAAUUCACUUUAUUACUUUAUUUCACCACCAAAAUUUCAGCCCCCCCAAAUUAAAUCACGCUUCCCAUUCCUUUCAUCUAUUUUACCUUAUUUAAUUAUUCCAAUACCAACAUGCCUCAAAUCUUAGCCAACUAAACCCAUUUUCAGCUUUAGGCCGGAAUUAGCCUCGUCAAAACCCGUGAGUUACGAACCCGAGCGAUUUAACUCCUAAAUUCCAGUACUUAUUAUUUCUCCAGAUUAAGAGUAUGAUUUUGUCAACUCACAAAGUCAGACCAACAUUAAGUCAAAAAGACGUCAUUUGAUUUAGUGUGGUUAGACGUACAGUUGGAAUUCCGAAAGGAACGUUUCUAAUUGGUUUUCUGUGAACACAUUGGCGUGCCAAGUAGAGAUAGUUGUUUGGUUCCGUCAAGGAAAGUAGUAACCGGAUUUAAAUGUCCCACGCGGUUGAGGACAUUGGUUCGAGCUAGGCUCUUCUAGAACGCAAAGCUGCCUGAGUUCUAAAUCACGAACGUUUCGUGGUUAUUCAAUCGGUAAGGGUUAGUUAUUGGACGUUCCAUAACUAAUUUACACAAGGAAGAGUUGGUGUCCGAGGCGUCCUUGGUAGCUAUAACUAGCUUAUUGGAUAGGAGGAGUUCAUCAAAUUUCGAGGAUCGGUUCAAAGACGAGGAAAAAUCUGUGCCUAAGGCUGAGCUUAUUCUAAUUAAUUUUUCUUCAAACUUAUUUAACUGCAUUUUAUUAUUUCAUUUUCAACUUUUACUUUUUACGCGUUUUAUUUAUUUAUUUCAGGUUCCAGGUUUUCGAUUUUAUUCUCCCCCCUAAUAUCUUGGGCACGACAACUGCCCCGACAUAAAUCUGGUCAAGAGAGAAACAAUUUGAAGUAAACCCAGUCUCUGAGGGAUCGACCUUACUCCUUAUACUGCUCAAAUUGCAAACUAGGCGUAGGUUUAUAUUGGUGGACUCGACACCCAUUAAUCACAAAAGUGAGAAAAGUUUUGUGGCCCAAGAGUAAAUACUCAAAUUUUGAGGGGUUGAAGUGUAAAUAUGAAAAGUUAAAGAACCAAUAGUGAAAAUAUUUUAAGGGUGGAAGGAUCUAGAAACUAAGCAAAAUGGAUGAAUUGGGACCAAAUUGAAUAAGUGAAAAAAGUAUGAGGGGUUAAAUACCAAUUUUACUAAAAUUAGUGAUGAUUCAAUGGAAGAAUUUUGAAAGAUCAUAAAGGACAAAAUGAUCAUCUAGCAAGAAAUAUAUUUUGAAGAGUAAUGAUGAUAUUGGUGAUAUUUUAAAAUAAAUAAAUAAAUAAAUAUUAGUUUAUUAAUAUUUUGAUUUGAUAUUUAUUUAUAUUUUAUUAAAUUUUACUUAGUAUAUAAGGAAAGAAAGAUGAAGAAUUCUCUUCAUUUUUCCAUGCUACUAACGUGAGAAGAAGAAAAGAAAUAAAAAAUUUCUUUUCUUUACAAUUUGGUCCUUUUACAAAAAAAUUCACCAUUUUCACUUAGAAAUCAAAAGAAUUUCCAUAGCCAUC
rnacentral:lncRNA from 1 species